rnacentral:tRNA from 1 species
GGCGGAGUAGAGCAGCUGGUCAGCUCGCCGGGCUCAUAACCCGUGAGGUCGCAGGUUCGAAUCCUGUCUCCGCUACCA